rnacentral:misc_RNA from 1 species
UGGCUCUGGCAUCGAUGAAGAACGCAGCGAAAUGCGAUAAGUAAUGUGAAUUGCAGAAUUCCGUGAAUCAUCGAAUCUUUGAACGCACAUUGCGCCCCUUGGCAUCCUAGGGGGCAUGCCUGUCUGAGCGUUAUUUGCACAUCUCAAGCCUAGCUUGGUGCUAGGCCCUGCCGCCGGCGGGCCCUAAAUCUGACAGCAGACCCUGCGGCGCCUAAGCGUAGUCAUGUCUCGCCUGUGGCUCCUGCGUGGCCGGCUGGGAUCUCCAACCAGUUAGCCUCAGAUCAGGUAGGAAUACCCGCUGA